AUUUGGGUCUAUAGCUUCAUCCAUUCCAACUGUUUGGGUUUAUUCCAGAUUGUUGCUAGAAAAAAAUCAACCAUGUGAAAUUAGAUUUGAAAUCCGUAAUAUGGAUGAAUUUCAGAAUCUAAUUCAUUUUUUGGGUCUUGAAAUUUUUGAGUUCGUGAAUUAUGUGUAUGUUCUAUAAUGUUUGAAUUUGUUGUGAUGGCUUGUAUCGCCGUUGGGUUUGAGAUAGAGGGUAGGAGAAUAACGAUAGGUUUACGGCCAUGUUGUUAGCAGCUCGUGGUCAUGAAGAUGGCGGUGCCAAAUUUGUUUGGGAAGAUGGUGGUGCCAGGUGGAAAGGGCGAGAAGACAAAAGCACUUUUUUUGUUUCUUUUUUUAAUUCAUUCAAUUAUUUCACGUUAAAUUGGAAUAGACAAUUUUACCCUCACAUAAUUGGUCAAAAAAGGUUAGAUUUUUUUAUUUUUUUAUUAGGUCAACUAAUAGUCAAACUAACAGUUUUCAUCCAUUUGAACUUCAUGUGCUAAUUUUUGAAAUGUUUGGUACCGUCCAGUAAAGGUUUGUGUCAAAUGUGCAUAAAAUUGAAAGGUUUGGCA
rnacentral:lncRNA from 1 species